UCAUUUGUGACACAUACACACACACUGACAGACACACACACACACACACACUCACUGACAGGUAGACACACUCACACUGACUGACAGACACUCACACUGACAGACAAUCACACUGACAGACAGACAAUCACACUGAUGGACAGACACACACACUGACACUAACAGACACUCACACUGAAAGACACACACACCGACAGACACUAACAAACAGACACACACUGACAGACGUGUCAUGUUCUGCAGAGAUGUCUGGCCUUGGCUACAAUUCUUG